rnacentral:rRNA from 1 species
AUUGAACGCUGGCGGCGGGCCUAACACAUGCAAGUCGAGCGGAGCGGCGGACGGGUGAGUACUGCCUAGGAAUCUGCCUGGUGGUGGGGGAUAACGUCCGGAAACAGGCGCUAAUACAGCAUAAUAUCAGAUGAGACUAGGUCGGAUUAGCGAGUUGGUGGGGUAAUGGCCUACCAAGGCGACGAUCCGUAACUGGUCUGAGAGGCUGAUCAGUCACACUGGAACGGAGACACGGUCCAGACUCCUACGGGAGGCAGCAGUGGGGAAUAUUGGACAAUGGGCGAAAGCCUGAUCGAGCCAUGCCGCGUGUGUGAAGAAGGUCUUCGGAUUGUAAAGCACUUUAAGUUGUGAGGCGUUACCAACAGAAUAAGCACCGGCUAACUUCGUGCCAGCAGCCGCGGUAAUAC